rnacentral:sRNA from 1 species
CACACACACACUGGGAUAUUUUUCUUGUUUCCUUCUUCCAGAGGGUGUAGGAGUUGUGUUCCAUGUUUGCUCCUGCAAACCCUCCGACGAGGCCAGCUGUGUUCAUCGGGACCUGGAUGGCUGUGCCUCUCUCUCUCUCCCCGCCCUGUCUCCUGCACUCAGUCUGACUUCCAGAUGGGGAAAGGGAGACCCCGGCUGCGGUGACCCACUGAGGGCACACGAUCAGUGAGAACCCAGCCCUGGCUUUGCCCAGACCUCUCAAGGGCACUUCGUGGGAGCAUUGCCGGCUGUUGUGGCAUCUGUCCCUGGCCUUGCCCCCGUCCAUCUCUGCACAGCCCAGGUGGGUCCGAGCCAGCCCCAGGUCUCCAGGGUCCCAGCCCAGCCUCUAGAAGAGCCAGCAGCAGGGCUGGAAGGGAGAGCGCAUGCCGGGCCUCGGGGCUGCCUUGGACCUCAGGCCGUUGACAAGGAAAAGCGGAGAGUUGGAAAAAAGGACAAAUAGCUGAGCGCCAGCCGCAGUCCGGGGGACGGGAGCCUCGUGCGACUCUCAGAGUACUGUCCAGAUUGGCAGAGGGGAGGAGAGAGGAAAAACCCAGGCUCUGAGGAAAAACCUCUCCUGCCCAGGGCGUGGCCUGGCAUUAACCCACUGCAGCCCCAGGAAGUGGCUCCACCCCAGGCAGCCAACAAGGCGGUGCCUGAACUAUGUCUGUGGAUGAUGGAGCCACGGCCUGUCCCUCAGGGCUCAGCGCUGCGGCUGUGUCCAGGGAGCCCUGGCUGUGCCCAUGUCGGGGCUUCCCGUUCCUUACCUGCCAUGAGAAUGAGAUGUCCAGGGACCUCCCUGCUCCAGCUGGGGCCUGUGGGGCUUUGUCUGGUGUCCCGAGCACCUUGGAGAUGUCAUUUCUAACAUUUUAACCCAGGAAUCCCCCCACCAAGGGACAGAGCGCAAGGACAUGAUCAAACAGAAAAAGUUCUGGUACAAGAUCGACCCCGUGGGGUGGUGAGUGCUACAGCCCCGGGCCUCACAUCCUGCCGUCCCUGUGGGAAAUUGGAGCGAUCCCAGUGCCCACUGCCGGUGCCCUGGCUCCAGCAACCCCUUCUGGUGGAUCCAUCCCAUGUAGCCUGGCCUGAAACACUGCCCAGCUGCGGGGUCCAGUAAGACAGAGCCUCGAGUCAUUCUGCCGAGAGGAUCCAGAAACACAGACUUUUUCUGGGGUCCUGGAGGCUUCUGGCCCACGGGGAGCCCCUGGGUCCCAGCGAUCCAGCCCUGCUGUGCUGCAGGGUGCAGGGCCCAGCUGCAGGGCAGAGGAGAGUGGCCCCCAGGGGCCAGCAGCGCGAGAGGCACACUGAGGCACACUGGCAGGCCCGGGCUGCAGAGAGCCUAAAGGUCAUGGGGUAGCUGAUGGAAGCAGGAAGACCCCGUACAGCAGCGACCACUGAGGCUGGUGCUGCACUUUCUCAGGGGAUUGAGUGUGGGCUCCCACCAUCCCGGCCACUGGCUUCCUCCAAAGCCGCCGCCUCUUACAUCAGCAAACCUCCUGUUUGGUGACCCCCUCAGUGACCCUCUGUGCUUGCCUUCAUGGUCCUCCGCAUGGAGGAUUUAGGGUCAGCGUGGGGGUCAGAGGUCAUUUCCCGUACCCCCUCAAAGGCGGCUUCUUGCUGUGGUCCCCACACUCUGACACCCUUUUCUGAAAUGAACACUUUUUGUUGUUGUUGUUGAGACAGAGUCUUGCUCUGUCGCCCAGGCUGGAGUGCAGUGGCACGAUCUUAGCUCACUGCAACCUCUAUCUCCCAGGUUCAAGUGAUUCUCAUGCCUCAGCCUCCUGAGUAGCUGGGAUUACAGGCAUGUGCCACCACGCCCAGCUAAUUUUUGUAUUUUUAGUAGAGAUGAGGUUUCACCAUGUUGGCCAGGCUGGUCUCGAACUUCUGACCUCAAGUGAUCUGCCCACCUCGGCCUCCCAAAGUGCUGGGAUUACAGGCAUGAGCCGCCGUGCCUGGCCACAAACAUAUUUUA